rnacentral:rRNA from 1 species
AAACAAAACUAUUCGCCAGAGUACUACCGGCAACAGCUUAAAACUCAAAGGACUUGGCGGUGCUUUUAUACCCUUCUAGAGGAGCCUGUUCUAUAAUCGAUAAACCCCGAUAAACCUCACCAUUCCUUGCUAAUACAGUCUAUAUACCGCCAUCUUCAGCGAACCCUAAAAAGGUACAAAAGUAAGCACAAUCAUAAUACAUAAAAACGUUAGGUCAAGGUGUAACCUAUGGAACGGAAAGAAAUGGGCUACAUUUUCUAAUCUAAGAAAAUCCAGCACGAAAGUUAUUAUGAAAUUAAUAACCAAAGGAGGAUUUAGCAGUAAACUAAGAAUAGAGUGCUUAGUUGAAUUAGGCCAUGAAGCACGCACACACC